UACGGGGGGUGCAAACGUUGCUCGGAAUUACUGGGCGUAAAGCGUGCGCAGGCGGCUUUGCAAGACAGAUGUGAAAUCCCCGGGCUCAACCUGGGAACUGCAUUUGUGACUGCAUGGCUAGAGUACGGUAGAGGGGGAUGGAAUUCCGCGUGUAGCAGUGAAAUGCGUAGAUAUGCGGAGGAACACCGAUGGCGAAGGCAAUCCCCUGGGCCUGUACUGACGCUCAUGCACGAAAGCGUGGGGAGCAAACAGG
rnacentral:rRNA from 1 species